GAUGAACGCUGGCGGCGUGCCUAAUACAUGCAAGUCGAGCGAACAGAUAAGGAGCUUGCUCCUUUGACGUUAGCGGCGGACGGGUGAGUAACACGUGGGUAACCUACCUAUAAGACUGGGAUAACUUCGGGAAACCGGAGCUAAUACCGGAUAACAUUUGGAACCGCAUGGUUCUAAAGUGAAAGAUGGUUUUGCUAUCACUUAUAGAUGGACCCGCGCCGUAUUAGCUAGUUGGUAAGGUAACGGCUUACCAAGGCAACGAUACGUAGCCGACCUGAGAGGGUGGUCGGCCACACUGGAACUGAACCACGGUCCAGACUCCUACGGGAGGCAGCAGUAGGGAAUCUUCCGCAAUGGGCGAAAGCCUGACGGAGCAACGCCGCGUGAGUGAUGAAGGGUUUCGGCUCGUAAAACUCUGUUAUUAGGGAAGAACAAACGUGUAAGUAACUGUGCACGUCUUGACGGUACCUAAUCAGAAAGCCACGGCUAACUACGUG
rnacentral:rRNA from 1 species